rnacentral:rRNA from 1 species
AUGGGGACUGGCUUGUCCCAGUCCGACGGCAACGGCGUGGAGGUCAACGCCAUGCGCGACCUGGAGAUCGGUCAAUCCACCAUAAUCAACAUGAUGCGGUCCGUGAUACCGUGUGCUUCGCCGCCGGCGGUAGCGCAUCUGGAGCGAGCGCUGUGGGGGCUGGGCUCCCUCACCCUUGUCCUGGCCCUCACCACCGUGCUUCACCUGCCGGCCGCCGGACCUGUCUUCGCCCGCUACAAGGCAGCAUACUAUGCUAUCCUUGCCUUUGUCCUCUUCGUAGCCGUGCCGGUGGAGCUGGCCACCGCCUUCUGCCUGCCGCGCUGCACCGACGGCCGCCGCCUCAUCGCCUUCGCCAGCCCUGCGCUUACGUGCUGCUACUCGUCGUCAUCUCCGUGGGUGGGAAUGCUGUUCUUGGAAGUUAGUCUUGUAGCAUUUCUACUUCAAGGAAAUGAAGCCAGUGGUUAUGGUGUCUUUGUCGCGCAACCUUAA